GAGUAAAUUUCCUUUACCAUAUUUCAGGAAUUUUGUAUGACCUCCCUUGCUCAUAUUAACUCCAUGAGACAAAUUCCUUUUCUCUUUCUUUAUAAUUAUGCGACCCCAUGCCAAGGGAUGUAGUGUUGUCCUUUACAGCAAUGUAGCCUCCCUUAGCCCUGAAGCAGGCUGAUCCAGACUUUGACCUUGCUGCCACUGAGAAGGAAAUUACCUAAGAUGGAGCCUUCCGACCUAGAUGGCUCUUUUGUUCUGCUACCUGCCACUGCUCUCUCCAAGACACUGCUACCCGAUGAGAAGCCCCUGAGACAUUCCAGAGGAACAUCCUAUUCUGCACACCACCUACAGGCUGGCUCCAGACACCAAGAAUGGACUGGCGGAGGAUGGACCUUCCCCUUUUAUAAGUAGACUCUCAUAGUAAAGUGGAGGACCUUGAACAGAAUCCUGUCUUGGCUCCAUUAACCUCUCGCAGUCUCAGUCUCUUUCAGCCCCAGCCUGCCUCCCUGGUGUAUCCGGUCCUUGUAAGCUGCAGGCCAGCUUGCAACAGAUUGGCGCCCGGGCCAGGGACCAUGGGAACGGCGGGAAAACACUGAGGGAAUCACUGUCUUGUAUGGAGCUCCAAGGGAAGGAAAGAAUCAGAUCCUAUCUGGCACGGUGAGCAACAGGAUUUGACAGCAAAAUAUGUGUUGGGACUAGAAACUGAAUCAGGUGGCUGUCCGCAGCUUUUAAAAGCUGUUUCAGGUGAGAGGAAUAGGGUUUAAAAUGAUGAAACAGAUGGUUGUCUGCAGUCGAGAACUGCAUCAGGCUAGAGGAAUAGGGCUUAAAAUGACGGAAUAAAAUAUAGAG
rnacentral:lncRNA from 1 species